CUUUCUUUGCUGGCGACCGGCGCACGGGUGAGUAACACGUAUCCAACCUGCCCUUUACUCGGGGAUAGCCUUUCGAAAGAAAGAUUAAUACCCGAUAGUAUAAUGAUUCCGCAUGGUUUGAUUAUUAAAGGAUUCCGGUAAAGGAUGGGGAUGCGUUCCAUUAGGUUGUUGGUGAGGUAACGGCUCACCAAGCCUUCGAUGGAUAGGGGUUCUGAGAGGAAGGUCCCCCACAUUGGAACUGAGACACGGUCCAA
rnacentral:rRNA from 1 species